rnacentral:rRNA from 1 species
AGUGAACGCUGGCGGUAGGCCUAACACAUGCAAGUCGAACGGCAGCACAGUAAGAGCUUGCUCUUACGGGUGGCGAGUGGCGGACGGGUGAGGAAUACAUCGGAAUCUACUUUUUCGUGGGGGAUAACGUAGGGAAACUUACGCUAAUACCGCAUACGACCUACGGGUGAAAGCAGGGGAUCUUCGGACCUUGCGCGAUUGAAUGAGCCGAUGUCGGAUUAGCUAGUUGGCGGGGUAAAGGCCCACCAAGGCGACGAUCCGUAGCUGGUCUGAGAGGAUGAUCAGCCACACUGGAACUGAGGCACGGUCCAGACUCCUACGGGAGGUAGCAGUGGGGAAUAUUGGACAAUGGGCGCAAGCCUGAUCCAGCCAUACCGCGUGGGUGAAGAAGGCCUUCGGGUUGUAAAGCCCUUUUGUUGGGAAAGAAAAGCAGCAGGUUAAUACCCCGCUGUUCUGACGGUACCCAAAGAAUAAGCACCGGCUAACUUCGUG